UACGGAAGGGGGCUAGCGUUGUUCGGAAUCACUGGGCGUAAAGCGCACGUAGGCGGAUCUUUAAGUCAGGGGUGAAAUCCCGAGGCUCAACCUCGGAACUGCCUUUGAUACUGGGGAUCUCGAGUCCGGGAGAGGUGAGUGGAACUGCGAGUGUAGAGGUGAAAUUCGUAGAUAUUCGCAAGAACACCAGUGGCGAAGGCGGCUCACUGGCCCGGAACUGACGCUGAGGUGCGAAAGCGUGGGGAGCAAAGCAGG
rnacentral:rRNA from 1 species